UUUAAAAGCAGAAAAGAUGAGCACUAGCCUCAGAAUGUCAGGACGUUACAGCUCUUUUGCUAUGGAAAACCUCAGCAGAAAGAAGGCACACAUUGGGGAGUGUCAAUCUUUCUUCCUUUGGCUCUGUCACAGUCCCAUUUCUCCCCCUUGGAAGGGAAUCCAGCUUCCCAUUUAGAACUUUGACAGGACUUCUCUGUGCCCAGACUGAGGAGGAACUUCAGACCAGGAGCAGCCAGCCAGCCACAGAGCAAAAUGAAACUUCUUCUAAGACAAAGAUAAUAAAAUAUGUUUGAGC